rnacentral:rRNA from 1 species
GACGAAGGGGGCAAGCGUUGCUCGGAUUUACUGGGCGUAAAGCGCACGUAGGCGGGGGGUUAAGUCGGAUGUGAAAUCAUGGAGCUUAACUCCGGAACGGCGUUCGAUACUGGCGGCCUCGAGUCCAGGAGGGGCGAGUGGAACUGCGAGUGUAGAGGUGAAAUGCGUAGAUAUUGGCAAGAACACCAGUGGCGCAGGCGUCUCACUGGCCCGGUACUGACACUGAGGCGCGAAAGCGGGGGGAGCAAAAGGG